rnacentral:misc_RNA from 1 species
AAAAAAAAAAAAAAAAAACACCAACCUCUAUCCUCUUUUUUCCAAUUCCCUAAUGAGAACAGAAAUGAUUGCUGUACAAUUCCAACUUGGAGGCAAAUGAUGCCUAAUUCCCACCUCUAUUAAUAAUUGAUUCCACAACUUGAAACACAUUAAUUUGAUAAUUUACUCAUGCUAUUCUAUUACUUUUUAGUUUUAUUGGAUCCUGCAUCAAUAGUGUUACAUGCUCUUCUACAUUCUUUUACUCAUUCUCCCUUCUCUCCUGAUCUAACUCUUAUACACGGUUUCGACGCUGCACGUUAAUGGGGUAUCGUUUCUGUGUCCGGGUUGUCGGAAAGAAAACCAACUUAUCUUCCUCAGCAGGAGUCCAACUGUCCAUGAAUGAAGGGUAUUAGUUUCAAGAAAACCUAGGAAAAUGAAUAAGAGUUGGUAUGCGUAUGAUACCUGAAACUUGUUACCAGGUGAUGAAGGAAAACAGAGA